rnacentral:rRNA from 1 species
AUUGAACGCUGGCGGCAGGCCUAACACAUGCAAGUCGAACGAGUGGCGGACGGGUGAGUCAUGUCUGGGAAACUGCCUGAAGGAGGGAGAUACCUACUGGAAACGGUAGCUAAUACCGCAAACCAUCAGAUGUGCCCACAGGGGAUUAGCUUGUUGGUGGGGUAAAGGCACACCAAGGCGACGAUCCCUAGCUGGUCUGAGAGGAGGACCAGCAACACUGGAACUGAGACACGGACCAAACUCCUACGGGAGGAAGCAGUGGGGAAUAUUGCACAAUGGGCGAAAGCCUGAUGCAGCCAUGCCGCGUGUAUGAAGAAGGCCUUCGGGUUGGAAAGUACUUUCAGCGGUGAGGCGUUACCCGCAGAAGAAGCACCGGCUAACUCCGUGCCAGCAGCCGCGGUAAUAC